rnacentral:rRNA from 1 species
CCAGCAGCCGCGGUAAUACGUAGGCAGCGAGCGUUGUUCGGAGUUACUGGGCGUAAAGGGUGCGUAGGCGGCCUCUUAAGUUUGGUGUGAAAUCUCCCGGCUCAACUGGGAGGGUGCGCCGGAUACUGAGGGGCUAGAGUGCGGGAGGGGAAAGUGGAAUUCCUGGUGUAGCGGUGAAAUGCGUAGAUAUCAGGAGGAACACCGGUGGUGUAAACGGCUUUCUGGACCGUAACUGACGCUGAGGCACGAAAGCGUGGGGAGCAAACAGGAUUAGAUACCCUGGUAGUCCACGCCCUAAACGAUGCAUGCUUGGUGUGGGUGAUUCAGUUCAUCCGUGCCGGAGCUAACGCGUUAAGCAUGCCGCCUGGGGAGUACAGUCGCAAGGCUGAAACUCAAAGGAAUUGACGGGGGCCCGCACA